rnacentral:rRNA from 1 species
UUCUGCUGGACUAAAUGUACUUAUUCCCAUCUGAUAUUUGAAAUUAAGCAGUUCUAGCCUUGUUAGGACUUGGAUGAGAGAUCACAUUGGAACUGUAAGCAACACAGAUA